rnacentral:rRNA from 1 species
CAGGGAAUUUUGUCCAAUGGGCGCAAGCCUGAGACAGUAACGCCGCGUGUGGGAUGAAGGCCCUCGGGUCGUAAACCACUGUCGGAGGGGAAGAACAACCCGGUGGCGAAUAUCCGCCGGGGCUGACGGUACCCUCAAAGGAAGGUCCGGCUAACUCCGUGCCAGCAGCCGCGGUAAUACGGAGGGACCGAGCGUUGUUCGGAAUUACUGGGCGUAAAGCGCGUGUAGGCGGUCGGGCAAGUCGAAUGUGAAAGCCCCGGGCUCAACCCGGGAACUGCAUCCGAAACUGCUCGGCUAGAGUCCCGGAGAGGAAGGCAGAAUUCCCAGUGUAGGGGUGAAAUCCGUAGAUAUUGGGAGGAAUACCAGUGGCGAAGGCGGCCUUCUGGACGGUGACUGACGCUGAGACGCGAAAGCGUGGGGAGCAAACAGGAUUAGAUACCCCCGUAGUCC